GAUGAACGCUGGCGGCGUGCCUAAUACAUGCAAGUCGAGCGAAGCGGGGACGGGUGAGUAACACGUGGAUAACCUCCUAUAAGACUGGGAUAACUUCGGGAAACCGGAGCUAAACCGGAUACUUAUAGAUGGAUCCGCGCUGCAUUAGCUAGUUGGUAAGGUAACGGCUUACCAAGGCAACGAUGCAUAGCCGACCUGAGAGGGGGGUCCGCCAAACUGGACCUGAGAACGGUUCCGACUCCCAACGGGGGCAGCCAUAGGGAAUCUUCCGCAAUGGGCCAAAGCCUGAACGGGCCACGCCCGGGGGGGGAAGAAGGUCUUCCGGUUGUAAAAACCUUUUAUUAGGGAAGCGGUACCUAAUCAGAAAGCCACGGCUAACUACGUGCCAGCAGCCGCGGUAAUUC
rnacentral:rRNA from 1 species